UACGUAGGGGGCAAGCGUUAUCCGGAUUUACUGGGCGUAAAGGGAGCGUAGGCGGACUUUUAAGUGAGAUGUGAAAUACUCGGGCUCAACUUGAGUGCUGCAUUUCAAACUGGAAGUCUAGAGUGCAGGAGAGGAGAAUGGAAUUCCUAGUGUAGCGGUGAAAUGCGUAGAUAUCGAGAGGAACACUCGUGGCGAAGGCGGGUUCCUGGACAUUAACUGACGCUGAGGCACGAAGGCCAGGGGAGCGAAAGGG
rnacentral:rRNA from 1 species